rnacentral:rRNA from 1 species
CCUACGGUGUGCUGCAGUGAGGAAUAUUGGUCAAUGGUCGGGAGACUGAACCAGCCAAGCCGCGUGAGGGAUGAAGGUACAGAGUAUCGUAAACCUCUUUUGUCAGGGAACAAAGGCGGGGACGCGUCCCCGGAUGAGUGUACCUGAAGAAAAAGCAUCGGCUAACUCCGUGACAGCAGCCGCGGUAAUACGGAGGAUGCGAGCGUUAUGCGGAUUUAUUGGGUUUAAAGGGUGCGCAGGCGGUCUGUUAAGUCAGCGGUCAAAGCCCGGGGCUCAACCCCGGCCCGCAGUUGAAUCUGGCAGUCGCGAGUUGGAGAGAAGGAUGCGGAAUGCGCGGUGUAGCGGUGAAGUGCAUAGAUAUCGCGCAGAACUCCGAUUGCGAAGGCAGCAUGCCGGCUCCACACUGACGCUGAGGCACGAAAGCGUGGGUAUCGAACAGGAUUAGAUACCCGGGUAGUC